rnacentral:misc_RNA from 1 species
UUCUUCAUCCUUCACAUCAAAUGGAAGGUUGCCCACAAAAAGAGUCCUUUUGUUGUCAUACAGAGCACUAUUUUCUCCCUUCAUCUUCUUACGUGGUGGACAUGCUCUGUCAACUCUGAUAUGUCUUUCUCCAACCACUGCCAUAUUAUGAGCCAAAGAUGCCUGGGCAGAUUCCUCUGAUUUAAAAACAACAUAAGCAUUAACACUGUCCGCAUUAUCAUUGAGUUUUUGCUUAAUGAUAGCAGCCUUCCUUGGAGUUGCACUAUCGGCUACCGGAAUGGACCGAAUCCUCACUGAUUCUAUCUCUCCAAAACUCCCAAACUCCUUCAGUAAAGCCUUCUUCUUGAUCUUCAAAGGCAAAUUCCCAACAAAAAUUGUCCUUAAAAGUUUACUCUCAUCAUCAAAUCCCUCAUUUGAGACCAUCAUAUCCUCUGGAUUAUCCAUCUUCUUCCUCUUUUCCCCUACCACCAUUUCUCCAAUCCCUUUCUCCACAUCCUCCACCGCAACCACCCCAUAUCGCUUCGCCUCAUACUCCGCCUCAAUCUCAUCCCUUUUCCUCUUCUUCUUCUUAUCUUUCUUCGACUCUAAACCCGACUUUUCCAGGUUCCCAGAAUUAGAAACUCCAUCAUUUGAUUCCUUAACUCCUUCACCUACAGAUUCCAAACCCAAAAUUACAUUUUUAGCCUUCUUCUUCCUCCCAGAAUCAGAAACUACACCAUUUGAUUCCUCAACCCCAGAUAAAGCAACCCUUUUCGAUUUCCCCCCUUCUUCCUCAUUAACUUCUUCAGCUACAGACCCAGAAUCCAAGUUUACUUUUUUAUCCUUUUUCUUCCUCUUCUUAAGCUCUGCACUACCAGAAUCAUUAUUCCCAGAAACCCCAUCAGUUUGAUUCUCAAUAGAAACUUCUACAACACCUAAUUUAGGCUCUUCGGUAGCUGUUGGAUUAUCAUUAGGCUUUCUUUUAAAUGGAUUUUCGUCAGAAAAGAGUGAAGCAAUGUUGGAAUCUG